UACGUAGGGGGCAAGCGUUGUCCGGAAUCAUUGGGCGUAAAGAGCGUGUAGGCGGCCAGAAAAGUCCGCUGUGAAAACUCGAGGCUCAACUUCGAGCUGUCGGUGGAAACUUUCUGGCUAGAGUCCGGAAGAGGAGAAUGGAAUUCCUGGUGUAGCGGUGAAAUGCGCAGAUAUCAGGAGGAACACCGGUGGCGAAGGCGGAUCUCUGGGCCUUACCUGACGCUCAGGUGCGAAAGCUAGGGGAGCAAACAGG
rnacentral:rRNA from 1 species